rnacentral:rRNA from 1 species
AACGAACGCUGGCGGCAGGCUUAACACAUGCAAGUCGAACGCCCCGCAAGGGGAGUGGCAGACGGGUGAGUAACGCGUGGGAACAUACCCUUUUCUACGGAAUAGCUCUGGGAAACUGGAAUUAAUACCGUAUACGCCCUACGGGGGAAAGAUUUAUCGGGGAAGGAUUGGCCCGCGUUGGAUUAGCUAGUUGGUGGGGUAAAGGCCUACCAAGGCGACGAUCCAUAGCUGGUCUGAGAGGAUGAUCAGCCACAUUGGGACUGAGACACGGCCCAAACUCCUACGGGAGGCAGCAGUGGGGAAUAUUGGAGAAUGGGAGCAAGCCUGAUCCUGCCAUGCCGCGUGAGUGAUGAAGGCCUUAGGGUUGUAAAGCUCUUUCACCGAUGAAGAGAAUGACGGUAGUCGGAGAAGAAGCCCCGGCUAACUUCGUGCCAGCCGCCGCAGUAA